rnacentral:lncRNA from 1 species
AAAAGUACAUAUGUAUAUAUGUAAAAAUACAUAAUAUACACAUAUAUAUAUAUAUAUUUUAAGAUCCCAACACUUUUUUUUUCCGUCUAAAGUUUAUUAAAAGGCAAAGCCCAUAAAAACGAAAUCACAAGGUUACAAAGAUAAAGCCCAGAAACACAUGGACGAACCAAACCGUAAACCAUUUUUGGGCCGCAAGCCCAUCAUCCUAAACCCAAAGGCGCCGCUUCAUUCACUCAAGGUUCGUGAACGGGACGCGUGUCAAGAUCCUCACUGCGAGGGACCACGCAUCACCCGGCCGCCACGUGUUGACCGAACCACCAUCAGAGAGACACGCGUCGAAAGAUCGAAACCCCACGACUUCACCGGUAUGCAAACCACCGUCGCCACAAUCCUCGGAAAUCCACCGGAAGUCGACAACCGCUUCCGCCAGGAUCAAAGAGAAAGCGCGACCAAAUCUUCACCCUGGAGCCCAAAACCGUCGAAGCUAUUGAUCUCGAAACAUCGAUCUACGCUUUAAAAUACAUCAAACGUCUACGAUCGAACCAAAAAUCAACAAGGAUAUUCAGAACGAGAGUCGAUUGGACAAAGGAAAGCAAAAGCGUAGAUCGAGAACUGAUUCCGGAUCAAAUCGGAGAAGAAGCCGGAGAAAGGACGGUGCUAUCAGAGCCACCGCUUUCCCGGAGACGAUAGCCGGCGAAAUCCGGUGCUGUUAGAGCCACCGUUUCCCGGAAACUAAAGCUGCCGACAGCGGUGUAAAAGGUAUCACCGCUUCCCAGAAUCAAGCUCGCUAACCGGAGAUAAAUUGAAUGAACCUCCGGAAGAGAUUUCAUCUCGAUCCUUCAUCAUCCUAAACCCAAAGGCGCCGCUUCAUUCACUCAAGGUUCGUGAACGGGACGCGUGUCAAGAUCCUCACUGCGAGGGACCACGCAUCACCCGGCCGCCACGUGUUGACCGAACCACCAUCAGAGAGACACGCGUCGAAAGAUCGAAACCCCACGACUUCACCGGUAUGCAAACCACCGUCGCCACAAUCCUCGGAAAUCCACCAGAAGUCGACAACCGCUUCCGCCAGGAUCAAAGAGAAAGCGCGACCAAAUCUUCACCCUGGAGCCCAAAACCGUCGAAGCUAUUGAUCUCGAAACAUCGAUCUACGCUUUAAAAUACAUCAAACGUCUACGAUCGAACCAAAAAUCAACAAGGAUAUUCAGAACGAGAGUCGAUUGGACAAAGGAAAAGCAAAAGCGUAGAUCGAGAACUGAUUCCGGAUCAAAUCGGAGAAGAAGCCGGAGAAAGGACGGUGCUAUCAGAGCCACCGCUUUCCCGGAGACGAUAGCCGGCGAAAUCCGGUGCUGUUAGAGCCACCGUUUCCCGGAAACUAAAGCUGCCGACAGCGGUGUAAAAGGUAUCACCGCUUCCCAGAAUCAAGCUCGCUAACCGGAGAUAAAUUGAAUGAACCUCCGGAAGAGAUUUCAUCUCGAUCCUUCAUCAUCCUAAACCCAAAGGCGCCGCUUCAUUCACUCAAGGUUCGUGAACGGGACGCGUGUCAAGAUCCUCACUGCGAGGGACCACGCAUCACCCGGCCGCCACGUGUUGACCGAACCACCAUCAGAGAGACACGCGUCGAAAGAUCGAAACCCCACGACUUCACCGGUAUGCAAACCACCGUCGCCACAAUCCUCGGAAAUCCACCGGAAGUCGACAACCGCUUCCGCCAGGAUCAAAGAGAAAGCGCGACCAAAUCUUCACCCUGGAGCCCAAAACCGUCGAAGCUAUUGAUCUCGAAACAUCGAUCUACGCUUUAAAAUACAUCAAACGUCUACGAUCGAACCAAAAAUCAACAAGGAUAUUCAGAACGAGAGUCGAUUGGACAAAGGAAAAGCAAAAGCGUAGAUCGAGAACUGAUUCCGGAUCAAAUCGGAGAAGAAGCCGGAGAAAGGACGGUGCUAUCAGAGCCACCGCUUUCCCGGAGACGAUAGCCGGCGAAAUCCGGUGCUGUUAGAGCCACCGUUUCCCGGAAACUAAAGCUGCCGACAGCGGUGUAAAAGGUAUCACCGCUUCCCAGAAUCAAGCUCGCUAACCGGAGAUAAAUUGAAUGAACCUCCGGAAGAGAUUUCAUCUCGAUCCUUCCUCUGUGACUGGUUUUAGAGAGAAGACAGAGCAAAAGGAGAGAGAAAUCUCAUUUUAAAUUUUACUUAAGAUCCCAACACUAGAAUCUCCAUUAAAAGUGUUC